CUUGUACCCUGCCAGUGGCUCCUGCUGGCUGCCUCACUCAUCAUUUUCUGGAGCCUGCCCACCACUGCCCAGCUCACUAUUGAAUCAGUGCCGCCCAAUGCUGCCGAAGGGAAGGAUGUGCUUCUCCGUGUCCACAACCUGCCUGAGAAUCUUGGAAGCUAUACCUGGUACACAGGGGGAAAGGUG